CACUAAACAACUUUUUGUUUUCUCAGAUUACACGGAAUUGAGCACCCGGGCCAGACUGACACUUUCCGGAGCCUGUCCGAGACGGAACUCGAGCCGAGGAAUCAUAGGUCCAGGUGGUGUCGGAAUUAGUCUAUAGCUCUGCCUGAACUGCUGUCCAAUUGGUUUACAAGUCCGGCUGAAGUGACAGGCCAUCAAAAACUGCACAGUAUGACUGAUUCGGAGACGGCCCUCAACACUCGCCCAGUCGUGUCGAGAGGAUCGGUGUCUUUGCAGGUUAGUACGCUGUUAUUUUCAAUGAAAUCUAUUGUAAAAUGAUUUCUUUGAUAUCAUGGCACACUUUUGUCACCAAAAUUAGGCAAAUUGUUGUUUUUUACAAUUACUGCAGCUCUGAAACCACAUUUUGUGGCGAUAACUUUGCCAGUGUGCCCGACAAUGUGAUGCCGGCAUGGUGACUUAUCCGUUUACAGUAAAUAAAGCCACACAGACUAUUGAAAGCUUACUCUAAUUGUAUCUCACUUACAUAAGUUAGCACCGUAAUGGGUAAAUGUGCACUAAACAACUUUUUGUUUUCUCAGAUUACACGGAAUUGAGCACCCGGGCCAGACUGACACUUUCCGGAGCCUGUCCGAGACGGAACUCGAGCCGAGGAAUCAUAGGUCCAGGUGGUGUCGGAAUUAGUCUAUAGCUCUGCCUGAACUGCUGUCCAAUUGGUUUACAAGUCCGGCUGAAGUGACAGGCCAUCAAAAACUGCACAGUAUGACUGAUUCGGAGACGGCCCUCAACACUCGCCCAGUCGUGUCGAGAGGAUCGGUGUCUUUGCAGGUUAGUACGCUGUUAUUUUCAAUGAAAUCUAUUGUAAAAUGAUUUCUUUGAUAUCAUGGCACACUUUUGUCACCAAAAUUAGGCAAAUUGUUGUUUUUUACAAUUACUGCAGCUCUGAAACCACAUUUUGUGGCGAUAACUUUGCCAGUGUGCCCGACAAUGUGAUGCCGGCAUGGUGACUUAUCCGUUUACAGUAAAUAAAGCCACACAGACUAUUGAAAGCUUACUCUAAUUGUAUCUCACUUACAUAAGUUAGCACCGUAAUGGGUAAAUGUGCACUAAACAACUUUUUGUUUUCUCAGAUUACACGGAAUUGAGCACCCGGGCCAGACUGACACUUUCCGGAGCCUGUCCGAGACGGAACUCGAGCCGAGGAAUCAUAGGUCCAGGUGUGACAGAAAACUUAAAGCUCAUGUCUGACGAUGACUUUUUUUGCGUCAGGAAGUAAAGUGUGUUGUUUUCCCAUGCAAGCAAGCCCUUUUGUUGGGUCAAAUGACAUCAGAAAUGCUGCUUCUACAUGGAUUUUACCUAAAAUGUGCCAAAAAAUAUAUAAAAAGUUUGUUCGGAUCUUGUUCAAAACCUGCUAUGAUGCACAUAUAAUGCCAUUGAUGAUUUGUUUUCACUUAUUAAGUCAUAUGUUACAUCUGCUAUGCUAUUAGAAUCGAAAGUGAUGCCUUGUAUGGAGUCUAAGUGCUGUCUGUAUGAUGUAACCAAGGUCGGCUUUUCUACCUUAAUUCUUGACGCGAAACGCUGUUACGCGUGACGCUUUCAACGUCAACUUUAAUGAAUAAAUCUGUGUGUCAUGGUACUGGAACUUUGUGAUCUUUUUUAAAACAGAUUAUACCUAUGGAAAAAGUGCCUUUAAUUCAAAUUUGAAGGGGUUGGGUUCCCUUAUAGGUUACAUUAUCCUAAACGGAAGUGGAAUUUGGGGGGUUACAUGCAGUCGGUUUGCUACUUAGUACAUAUGAUGCAGGUCCUGGUGCAUAAGAUUUUAAAAAUGUAUCUGAAAUGAAGAGUUUAGGUGUCAGUUUAAAGGUACAUGUGUAAGUCACAGGGCAAAAGGCCUGAUUUGUGCAUUUCUUUGUAUGUUAGUGGUUGCCAGCCUCAAUAGUAGGGCAUGGUUUUUGCCUUCAAAUGGCAGUGCCGGUAGCUGUCAAAACCGGUUCAUAUGCUCUAAGGUAAUUAUUUUGAGUUACACCGUAUAGAAUUUUUUCAAAUGCAGUUUUUUUGUAAGUUUAUGAAACCACCUUUCCAGUCAUGUAUAGUUAUAUAUUGGCUUAUCGCUCGGUCAUGGUGAAAUUUGAGAUCAAAGAUUGCGAAUUCUAUAUAUAACAAAGAAGGAAAUUAAUUGGGCAUGUGUAACCUUUAAGAACUUCCGACCAAGUUAGUCGUCUUCCAGAAUGUUGACAAUUUACCAUCAAAAACUCUCUGUAUUGCAAAACAUAACUACCAGAUGUCAUUUUGACCCAAUUAAGGGCUGUUUGCAAUUGGGCUGUUGCACUUGGGGUCCUAAGGGGGGUAAAUGCUUGAAAAUCACUCCGAAACCUGUUCCGAAGACACAUUCUAAGACUACGUAAACACUCGGUAUUGUUUUUCAGUGACAUUUUGACAUUAAUUUGCAUCAAUCUCAAUAAUGAACCUAAUUCCUGUCUUUAUUUCAUCUGUAUUUAUUGCUAUUGUUUACUUUUAGCCUUUUACUAUUUAAAAUGUAAUGUGUGUUGUUUUUCCAUGCAAGCAAUUUUGGACCGACACUGCUAUCUGCCUUCGCUUUCAAUCCCGCCAGGCAGAUCUACUCAGAAUAACACUACUUUGCCUUAUUUUUCCUGUUUGGAUAUCUUGCUGAGUUCAAGUUAAAUCAAGUAUUCAGCUGAAAACACAAAAAGGAUAAUAAUAUUAUGCUUUCUUUCUUGGAACGAUGUUGUUGUGAUAGACCGUGCGUGAAAAACAGCAGGGAAUCUGUAUUUAAGUGACCUCAAUAUUAUACGUAAACCUAAAUGUACAUUUUUAGGUGGUGUCGGAAUUAGUCUAUAGCUCUGCCUGAACUGCUGUCCAAUUGGUUUACAAGUCCGGCUGAAGUGACAGGCCAUCAAAAACUGCACAGUAUGACUGAUUCGGAGACGGCCCUCAACACUCGCCCAGUCGUGUCGAGAGGAUCGGUGUCUUUGCAGGUUAGUACGCUGUUAUUUUCAAUGAAAUCUAUUGUAAAAUGAUUUCUUUGAUAUCAUGGCACACUUUUGUCACCAAAAUUAGGCAAAUUGUUGUUUUUUACAAUUACUGCAGCUCUGAAACCACAUUUUGUGGCGAUAACUUUGCCAGUGUGCCCGACAAUGUGAUGCCGGCAUGGUGACUUAUCCGUUUACAGUAAAUAAAGCCACACAGACUAUUGAAAGCUUACUCUAAUUGUAUCUCACUUACAUAAGUUAGCACCGUAAUGGGUAAAUGUGCACUAAACAACUUUUUGUUUUCUCAGAUUACACGGAAUUGAGCACCCGGGCCAGACUGACACUUUCCGGAGCCUGUCCGAGACGGAACUCGAGCCGAGGAAUCAUAGGUCCAGGUGGUGUCGGAAUUAGUCUAUAGCUCUGCCUGAACUGCUGUCCAAUUGGUUUACAAGUCCGGCUGAAGUGACAGGCCAUCAAAAACUGCACAGUAUGACUGAUUCGGAGACGGCCCUCAACACUCGCCCAGUCGUGUCGAGAGGAUCGGUGUCUUUGCAGGUUAGUACGCUGUUAUUUUCAAUGAAAUCUAUUGUAAAAUGAUUUCUUUGAUAUCAUGGCACACUUUUGUCACCAAAAUUAGGCAAAUUGUUGUUUUUUACAAUUACUGCAGCUCUGAAACCACAUUUUGUGGCGAUAACUUUGCCAGUGUGCCCGACAAUGUGAUGCCGGCAUGGUGACUUAUCCGUUUACAGUAAAUAAAGCCACACAGACUAUUGAAAGCUUACUCUAAUUGUAUCUCACUUACAUAAGUUAGCACCGUAAUGGGUAAAUGUGCACUAAACAACUUUUUGUUUUCUCAGAUUACACGGAAUUGAGCACCCGGGCCAGACUGACACUUUCCGGAGCCUGUCCGAGACGGAACUCGAGCCGAGGAAUCAUAGGUCCAGGUGGUGUCGGAAUUAGUCUAUAGCUCUGCCUGAACUGCUGUCCAAUUGGUUUACAAGUCCGGCUGAAGUGACAGGCCAUCAAAAACUGCACAGUAUGACUGAUUCGGAGACGGCCCUCAACACUCGCCCAGUCGUGUCGAGAGGAUCGGUGUCUUUGCAGGUUAGUACGCUGUUAUUUUCAAUGAAAUCUAUUGUAAAAUGAUUUCUUUGAUAUCAUGGCACACUUUUGUCACCAAAAUUAGGCAAAUUGUUGUUUUUUACAAUUACUGCAGCUCUGAAACCACAUUUUGUGGCGAUAACUUUGCCAGUGUGCCCGACAAUGUGAUGCCGGCAUGGUGACUUAUCCGUUUACAGUAAAUAAAGCCACACAGACUAUUGAAAGCUUACUCUAAUUGUAUCUCACUUACAUAAGUUAGCACCGUAAUGGGUAAAUGUGCACUAAACAACUUUUUGUUUUCUCAGAUUACACGGAAUUGAGCACCCGGGCCAGACUGACACUUUCCGGAGCCUGUCCGAGACGGAACUCGAGCCGAGGAAUCAUAGGUCCAGGUGUGACAGAAAACUUAAAGCUCAUGUCUGACGAUGACUUUUUUUGCGUCAGGAAGUAAAGUGUGUUGUUUUCCCAUGCAAGCAAGCCCUUUUGUUGGGUCAAAUGACAUCAGAAAUGCUGCUUCUACAUGGAUUUUACCUAAAAUGUGCCAAAAAAUAUAUAAAAAGUUUGUUCGGAUCUUGUUCAAAACCUGCUAUGAUGCACAUAUAAUGCCAUUGAUGAUUUGUUUUCACUUAUUAAGUCAUAUGUUACAUCUGCUAUGCUAUUAGAAUCGAAAGUGAUGCCUUGUAUGGAGUCUAAGUGCUGUCUGUAUGAUGUAACCAAGGUCGGCUUUUCUACCUUAAUUCUUGACGCGAAACGCUGUUACGCGUGACGCUUUCAACGUCAACUUUAAUGAAUAAAUCUGUGUGUCAUGGUACUGGAACUUUGUGAUCUUUUUUAAAACAGAUUAUACCUAUGGAAAAAGUGCCUUUAAUUCAAAUUUGAAGGGGUUGGGUUCCCUUAUAGGUUACAUUAUCCUAAACGGAAGUGGAAUUUGGGGGGUUACAUGCAGUCGGUUUGCUACUUAGUACAUAUGAUGCAGGUCCUGGUGCAUAAGAUUUUAAAAAUGUAUCUGAAAUGAAGAGUUUAGGUGUCAGUUUAAAGGUACAUGUGUAAGUCACAGGGCAAAAGGCCUGAUUUGUGCAUUUCUUUGUAUGUUAGUGGUUGCCAGCCUCAAUAGUAGGGCAUGGUUUUUGCCUUCAAAUGGCAGUGCCGGUAGCUGUCAAAACCGGUUCAUAUGCUCUAAGGUAAUUAUUUUGAGUUACACCGUAUAGAAUUUUUUCAAAUGCAGUUUUUUUGUAAGUUUAUGAAACCACCUUUCCAGUCAUGUAUAGUUAUAUAUUGGCUUAUCGCUCGGUCAUGGUGAAAUUUGAGAUCAAAGAUUGCGAAUUCUAUAUAUAACAAAGAAGGAAAUUAAUUGGGCAUGUGUAACCUUUAAGAACUUCCGACCAAGUUAGUCGUCUUCCAGAAUGUUGACAAUUUACCAUCAAAAACUCUCUGUAUUGCAAAACAUAACUACCAGAUGUCAUUUUGACCCAAUUAAGGGCUGUUUGCAAUUGGGCUGUUGCACUUGGGGUCCUAAGGGGGGUAAAUGCUUGAAAAUCACUCCGAAACCUGUUCCGAAGACACAUUCUAAGACUACGUAAACACUCGGUAUUGUUUUUCAGUGACAUUUUGACAUUAAUUUGCAUCAAUCUCAAUAAUGAACCUAAUUCCUGUCUUUAUUUCAUCUGUAUUUAUUGCUAUUGUUUACUUUUAGCCUUUUACUAUUUAAAAUGUAAUGUGUGUUGUUUUUCCAUGCAAGCAAUUUUGGACCGACACUGCUAUCUGCCUUCGCUUUCAAUCCCGCCAGGCAGAUCUACUCAGAAUAACACUACUUUGCCUUAUUUUUCCUGUUUGGAUAUCUUGCUGAGUUCAAGUUAAAUCAAGUAUUCAGCUGAAAACACAAAAAGGAUAAUAAUAUUAUGCUUUCUUUCUUGGAACGAUGUUGUUGUGAUAGACCGUGCGUGAAAAACAGCAGGGAAUCUGUAUUUAAGUGACCUCAAUAUUAUACGUAAACCUAAAUGUACAUUUUUAGGUGGUGUCGGAAUUAGUCUAUAGCUCUGCCUGAACUGCUGUCCAAUUGGUUUACAAGUCCGGCUGAAGUGACAGGCCAUCAAAAACUGCACAGUAUGACUGAUUCGGAGACGGCCCUCAACACUCGCCCAGUCGUGUCGAGAGGAUCGGUGUCUUUGCAGGUUAGUACGCUGUUAUUUUCAAUGAAAUCUAUUGUAAAAUGAUUUCUUUGAUAUCAUGGCACACUUUUGUCACCAAAAUUAGGCAAAUUGUUGUUUUUUACAAUUACUGCAGCUCUGAAACCACAUUUUGUGGCGAUAACUUUGCCAGUGUGCCCGACAAUGUGAUGCCGGCAUGGUGACUUAUCCGUUUACAGUAAAUAAAGCCACACAGACUAUUGAAAGCUUACUCUAAUUGUAUCUCACUUACAUAAGUUAGCACCGUAAUGGGUAAAUGUGCACUAAACAACUUUUUGUUUUCUCAGAUUACACGGAAUUGAGCACCCGGGCCAGACUGACACUUUCCGGAGCCUGUCCGAGACGGAACUCGAGCCGAGGAAUCAUAGGUCCAGGUGGUGUCGGAAUUAGUCUAUAGCUCUGCCUGAACUGCUGUCCAAUUGGUUUACAAGUCCGGCUGAAGUGACAGGCCAUCAAAAACUGCACAGUAUGACUGAUUCGGAGACGGCCCUCAACACUCGCCCAGUCGUGUCGAGAGGAUCGGUGUCUUUGCAGGUUAGUACGCUGUUAUUUUCAAUGAAAUCUAUUGUAAAAUGAUUUCUUUGAUAUCAUGGCACACUUUUGUCACCAAAAUUAGGCAAAUUGUUGUUUUUUACAAUUACUGCAGCUCUGAAACCACAUUUUGUGGCGAUAACUUUGCCAGUGUGCCCGACAAUGUGAUGCCGGCAUGGUGACUUAUCCGUUUACAGUAAAUAAAGCCACACAGACUAUUGAAAGCUUACUCUAAUUGUAUCUCACUUACAUAAGUUAGCACCGUAAUGGGUAAAUGUGCACUAAACAACUUUUUGUUUUCUCAGAUUACACGGAAUUGAGCACCCGGGCCAGACUGACACUUUCCGGAGCCUGUCCGAGACGGAACUCGAGCCGAGGAAUCAUAGGUCCAGGUGUGACAGAAAACUUAAAGCUCAUGUCUGACGAUGACUUUUUUUGCGUCAGGAAGUAAAGUGUGUUGUUUUCCCAUGCAAGCAAGCCCUUUUGUUGGGUCAAAUGACAUCAGAAAUGCUGCUUCUACAUGGAUUUUACCUAAAAUGUGCCAAAAAAUAUAUAAAAAGUUUGUUCGGAUCUUGUUCAAAACCUGCUAUGAUGCACAUAUAAUGCCAUUGAUGAUUUGUUUUCACUUAUUAAGUCAUAUGUUACAUCUGCUAUGCUAUUAGAAUCGAAAGUGAUGCCUUGUAUGGAGUCUAAGUGCUGUCUGUAUGAUGUAACCAAGGUCGGCUUUUCUACCUUAAUUCUUGACGCGAAACGCUGUUACGCGUGACGCUUUCAACGUCAACUUUAAUGAAUAAAUCUGUGUGUCAUGGUA